AUGAUAGAUCAUUCAUGUUUAAAUUCAUGAUUAAGUUCAUGUGGUAGAUUGCUUGUUGGUUGGCUAUGAGAAAGCUCAAGUAUAAGAAUAAGUGAAGAUACUAGUAUUAGUUUGUGCAAGAUCAAGAUUUGCAGGUGAAUUUUGGAUGUGCAUGGGAGCAUACUAGGAAGGGGAUCUUCACCUAGAUUAGAGUGUUUCAUUUAUUUUGAGUAUUGAGACAAUAUUUACUUUUAUUAAUAAAGAAGUAUUAUUAUUUUUGGUUAAA